CUCCUACUCCUUCUAAUGCUAUCAAACAAUCCUGCUCCCUGGUGACCAAGCAUCCAAAUGUAGAGCGAUAGGAGCCAUUCUCAUGCAAACUACCAGAGUGAGGACCUAGUGCACAGCAAUGCCUCUUUUUUGUUCUGCUUUCCUUAGUUAACUGCCGAGACUCCACUGAGGCCUUAGGGGGACUUUGAAUGUGGGCAUCUUGAGAACUUCGGUUAACCGUCAAGACCAUGGGAAUUCCUGGAGAUAGAUUGGAUCAUCAGAUGUUCAUUAUGAAAGCUCACUCUCAGGCGCUGUGAAUGAAUCCAUACAGCUGCACUGGAACGGAGGCUCUAACAUUCCCUUAUACAACACUAUCUUCACCUUUGGAGGAAAAUGCUUUGGAAAGCAUGACCACAGUAGCAGCUGGGCCAAACUGAUGUGCCUCUCGUGAGUGAAAAUGGCAGCUCACAGAGGAAGGAUAAGGAUCUGUAUGGAAAGGGGCAUGUACAUGGGUGCGCUGGGGAUUAUCCACUAUGUCUGCUAUCCUUGAGCUAAAGGCCUCCUAUAAUUUAUUAGUUGUAGCAGUUGUAAACAUGGACACUGGAGGGAGCACUAGAGGGAGCACUGCUUGAUCAUAGUGAAAUCUAAGUUACAAGACAGAGAAAUGUCUCUUCUCGUGGACAGAAGUGAGAAAGAAAUUUUGGAAAAAUUUCCUCCUGGCGUCCCAACUAACGAGGAUGUUUAAAGCCACCACUCUGUUACACUUACUGCAGGAUGGAACCCGAGAAACCCCACUUCCAGCUCCAUGCAAGCUGGAGUCAAAGCUCUGACUGCUCCUCACUGUCACCGGAGAGCUGAGGUUGCUGCUGACCGUGGCGGUGCUCGGCAUCCGGGCCAGAUUAGGCAUGCUUCUUCGUAGCUUAUCUAAAAGAAGAAAGGAUUUUCCUAAAUUAAAAACCGCAAGUAAAUUGAAUGCUAAUAGAAACAUUUGCUUUUGAAGUAAAUAAAUAAAAAUGCCAUUAUGAUCAAGGACACAGAAACAACGGCAUGUCCAUUACAAAAAGACUAAGGGAGAACCAAUCUCUUAUAUGGGCAAUGGACACUCUAGAAUAUUUUAACUGAUACAUUGUUGACAAUAGAAAACACACAUUCUAUAACAAAGAAAAAAAAAACAAUUCUACUUUUGUUACUGCUCAGUAAGUGAAUUAACAUAAGGUUAGAAAAUAACCCUGCAACUAUUUACAAAUGAACACACU